CUUUAUGCUCAGCUCUGUGAAAUGCAGAAAAGGCUACAGAGUACAGUGUCUGUAAGGCUUCCUGGGAAACAGAAGCUGCAGUGAGGAGCACCAGCAUGGUACAAGCUGUUUCAGGGCCUAACAGCCAGAGACUGGAAGAAUUCCUCCCUGAGGAUCGAGAAUUAAAAUAAAGGACUGAGCAUGGCAUGGGAAGAAAAAGGAGCAAACUUGCCUGUCCAAAGGCAUAUCACAGGUGAGUGGCAAACCCACAAACAGACAGGUGCUCCCUGAUUCCCUCUCUGGUACCCUGCCCUGCUGGGAUCUUUCCUGUUGUAAAAAUGGGCAGUGAGAUACUGUUCAAAGGGGAGAGACUCCAAAGGCUCUCACAGAAGUAUCUCCUCAGGACACUUUGCUGCUUUGUGCACACACAUGCUCUCAUAUAUAUAUGUGGGGGGAGAGAAGGGAGAGAAGAACAUCCUGUGGGAUUUCUUUCACCAUCUGCCGAGUUCUGAGUGCCAUCUGCAAAGUAAAAGCGUUUAUGUUGUUUAGUCUUUGUUCAAAAUGUAUUUUUUGUCACAGUGGCUUUUGGCAUUAUCAUGCUCAACUAGAAGAAAUAUUCAACAGUUUGGAGCAAGUGGAAUAAAACAUUGACAGCUCAGGACCCUGAAACAUCCAGUUUGCAGAGUAAUUUGACAGGAGGCUUUGACGCUGUGCCCACUGCACUCUCCACAGGAGCUCAGACGUGACCAUUCAGGUUCACAGGACACAGCCAGCAGCUUGUCUGGAGAGGCUCAUCCAGCGGCACAUGGGGGAAGUCCAGGACAAACUCCUGGGCACUGGAGCUGAAGGAGGGGGAAAAGAGAGAUCUGAGCAUCACCAGGAGCUGUACACGGCAGCAAAGGUGCUCUCCUGAGAAACAACACUGUGGAGCUGGGUCUGAGCAAGGGGAGAGGUUUAUAUCCUGCUGCCUCCCGUGGAAGGAAAACAUAAAUACAGCAGAAAAUGCCUUUGCCUGUGCCCACCUGGGCAAUGCCAUGUUCAGCUGGAAGUGGCAAAGCCCACAGUGCUGCUGCUCUUUGGGAGUGGGUGGUGCUGCUGAUGGAGUUGGAUUCAAAUUCCACAUCUGCAUCUUCUGCUCACACAGGUCAAUGCAUUUUGAAGCAGAUGGAGCAGUAAUUCAUGAAAAAUAGUGUUUAGGAAAGAAAAGCAGAAGCUGAAAGCAGGAGGAAAUUGCCUUUAAGAAAUUGCUGUAUCAUUCCUUUGGAAAAGCAGGGCUUGCUCCAAAGGGUCUCCAGCUGACAGCCUGAUUUAGUGACUAAAUACCUGUUUGAACAGAGGCUCCACGAGGCUGCAGAAGAACCUUUGGAG
ensembl:lncRNA